GUGUGAGUAUAAUGUUGAUUGGCCUCCCUAACACACUCUUGAUACGAAAGAAACCUCCCGCCAUAGAGAAGAGAUCUAGUUGCUCCUAUGUCUACACUUAGAUGUUUCUCUUUUUCAUUUCGAUACAAAGCUUCACCAACAAUGUUUUCUCUCCUGUUUUUUAUUACACAGUAGAAUUUCUACUCAGUAAUACAAUGUUUGACAAAAAGUAGAGCAAAGAAGAAGAAAAGGCAACCCAAGAGAAUUGAUCCUUGAAAAAAGGCAAAGAUGGAUCUUUUUUUCAAGAAUAAGCUUUAUUACCAGAUAUAUCAUUAUGUACAUAUUUGAAACUCGGGGC